CGGAGGCUGGCUGAAGAACACCCUGCUGACGUGGUGCUGACCCUCCUGUGCUGUGCCCCAACGUGUGACAGAGCUGCUGCAAGGAUGUGGAGAGCCAUAGGCUCUUCAGGACCAACAGUGGAGAAGGUGCUGCCAACUCUGCUCUGUGUCAUGGAGGACUGGCCUCUGCACAGCACAUGCACCUCUGAUGGGGACAACAAAGAUGUUUUUGCCCUGUCUGCAACUCUGGUGAUCUGGCUAAUUGUGCCUCAAUGCCACAAGGCAAUGAUCCUUUAUUCCUCCC